rnacentral:rRNA from 1 species
AUUGAACGCUGGCGGCAGGCUUAACACACGCAAGUCGAGCGGGGUGAUGGUGCUUGCACUAUCACUUAGCGGCGGACGGGUGAGUAAUGCUUAGGAAUCUGCCUAUUAGUGGGGGACAACAUCUCGAAAGGGAUGCUAAUACCGCAUACGUCCUACGGGAGAAAGCAGGGGAUCACUUGUGACCUUGCGCUAAUAGAUGAGCCUAGGUCGGAUUAGCUAGUUGGUGGGGUAAAGGCCUACCAAGGCGACGAUCUGUAGCGGGUCUGAGAGGAUGAUCCGCCACACUGGGACUGAGACACGGCCCAGACUCCUACGGGAGGCAGCAGUGGGGAAUAUUGGACAAUGGGGGGAACCCUGAUCCAGCCAUGCCGCGUGUGUGAAGGAGGCCUUAUGGUUGUAAAGCACUUUAAGCGAGGAGGAGGCUCUUUUGGUUAAUACCCAAGAUGAGUGGACGUUACUCGCAGAAUAAGCACCGGCUAACUCUGUGCCAGCCGCCGCGGUAA